rnacentral:rRNA from 1 species
GACGUAGGUGGCGAACGUUAUCCGGAAUUAUUGGGCGUAAAGGGUGCGUAGACGGCAUAAUAAGUUAUCAGUGGGAAAUCGAGGCUCAACCUCGUGGAAGUUGGUAAUACUGUUUUGCUUGAGUACAGGAGAGGUUAACGGAACUCCAUGUGGAGCGGUAAAAUGUGUAGAUAUAUGGAAGAACAUCAAUAACGGCGAAGGCAGUUAACUAUUCUGUUACUGACGUUGAGGCACGAAAGCGUGGGGAGCAAAAAGG